GACAUACUCCCUCCGUUCGGAAUUACUUGUCGCGGAAAUGGAUGUAUCUAGAUGUUACAUCCAUUUCCGCGACAAGUAAUUCCGAACGGAGGGAGUAAGGU
rfam:Triticum aestivum genome assembly, contig: Triticum_aestivum_CS42_TGACv1_scaffold_320587_4BL